rnacentral:misc_RNA from 1 species
GAUGAAGAACGCAGCGAAAUGCGAUACUUGGUGUGAAUUGCAGAAUCCCGUGAACCAUCGAGUCUUUGAACGCAAGUUGCGCCCGAAGCCAUCAGGUUGAGGGCACGUCUGCCUGGGCGUCACAUAUCGUUGCCCAAUGCCUAUUGCAGUGCAAUAGGAAUUUCUAGGGCGAAUGAUGGCUUCCCGUGAGCGUUGUUGCCUCGCGGUUGGUUGAAAAUCGAGUCCUUGGUAGGGUGUGCCAUGGUAGAUGGUGGUCGAGUUAGAACGAUACCGAUCAUGUGCAUGCUCCCCAAAAUAUGGCCUCUAUGACCCACACGCGUCUUUUGACGCUCAUGACGAGACCUCAGGUCAGGCGGGGCUACCCGCUGAAUUUAAGCAUAUUAAUAAGCGGAGGA